GGUUUUUUGAAUAUAAUAAAAAAUCUGGCCUGCUCAAUGAAUUUAUUAAAUAGCUGCAGUAUUUUAACUGUACUAAGGUAGCAUAAUCAAUAGUUUUUUAAUUAAAAGCUAGAAUGAAUGGUUUAAUGAAAUAUAAACUUUAUUUAUUUUAAUAUUUUAAAAUUUUAUUAUUAGUUAAAAAUCUAAUAUAUAAUUAAAAGACGAGAAGACCCUAUAGAUUUUUAUAAUUUAUUAAUAAUUAAAUUUUAUUUAUUAAAAUUAUUUAAUUUUAUUAUUUUAUUGGGGUGAUUAUUAAAUUUAAAUAACUUUAAUUUUAAAAUAACAUAAAUUUAUGAAUUAUUGAUCUUGAAUUUUAGAUUAUUAGAAUAAAUUACCUUAGGGAUAACAGCGUAANUUUUUUAGUAAGAUCAUAUUUAUAAAAUAGAUUAC
rnacentral:rRNA from 1 species